rnacentral:rRNA from 1 species
AUGAUACGCGAGGAACCUUACCAGGGCUUAAAUGUAGUCUGACAGCUUUAGAGAUAGAGUUUUCUUCGGACAGAUUACAAGGUGCUGCAUGGUUGUCGUCAGCUCGUGCCGUGAGGUGUCAGGUUAAGUCCUAUAACGAGCGCAACCCCUGUCGUUAGUUGCCAGCCUGUUAUGAUGGGGACUCUAACGAGACUGCCUACGCAAGUAGAGAGGAAGGUGGGGAUGACGUCAAAUCAUCACGGCCCUUACGUCCUGGGCUACACACGUGCUACAAUGGCAGGGACAAUUAGUUGCAAACCUGCGAGGGUGAGCUAAUCUACAAACCCUGUCUCAGUUCGGAUCGGAGUCUGCACCUCGACUCCGUGAAGUUGGAAUCGCUAGUAAUCGGAUAUCAGCCAUGAUCCGGUGAAUACGUUCCCGGGCCUUGUACACACCGCCCGUCAA